rnacentral:miRNA from 1 species
ACUCAGUAAUGUGCUUUUGGA